ACAUGCCUACAUCAUAGCAUUAAUGCACUGGAUCCCAUUAGAACUCUGCAGUUAAGCAUGCUCAUGCUAGAGUAGCACUGGGAUGGGUGACUGCCCAUGAAGUCCUACUGUUUUACAAGCC
rfam:Picea glauca, whole genome shotgun sequence.